AGAGUUUGAUCAUGGCUCAGGAUGAACGCUAGCGACAGGCCUAACACAUGCAAGUCGAGGGGUAACGAUGGUGCUUGCACCAGGCGACGACCGGCGCACGGGUGAGUAACGCGUAUGCAACCUGCCUUGUACAGGGGGAUAGCCCGGAGAAAUCCGGAUUAAUACCGCAUAAUGAUCAUUUUUCGCAUGGGAAAUGAUUUAAACCUUUUAGGGGUACAAGAUGGGCAUGCGUAGCAUUAGCUUGUUGGUGAGGUAACGGCUCACCAAGGCGAUGAUGCUUAGGGGGUCUGAGAGGAUAGUCCCCCACACUGGUACUGAGACACGGACCAGACUCCUACGGGAGGCAGCAGUGAGGAAUAUUGGUCAAUGGACGCAAGUCUGAACCAGCCAUGUCGCGUGCAGGAUGACGGCCCUAUGGGUUGUAAACUGCUUUUUUACGGGAAUAAACGCAUCUACGUGUAGGUGUUUGAAGGUACCGUAUGAAUAAGGAUCGGCUAACUCCGUGCCAGCAGCCGCGGUAAUACGGAGGAUUCGAGCGUUAUCCGGAUUUAUUGGGUUUAAAGGGUCCGUAGGCGGGCCUGUAAGUCAGUGGUGAAAUCCCGGAGCUCAACUCCGGAACUGCCAUUGAUACUGCAGGUCUUGAAUUUGGUUGAGGUGGGCGGAAUACGUUAUGUAGCGGUGAAAUGCAUAGAUAUAACGUAGAACACCGAUUGCGAAGGCAGCUCACUAAGCCAAUAUUGACGCUGAUGGACGAAAGCGUGGGGAGCGAACAGGAUUAGAUACCCUGGUAGUCCACGCCGUAAACGAUGAUUACUCGUUGUGCGCGAUACACAGUGCGCGACUGAGCGAAAGCAUUAAGUAAUCCACCUGGGGAGUACGUUGGCAACAAUGAAACUCAAAUGAAUUGACGG
rnacentral:rRNA from 1 species